AGAGUUUGAUCCUGGCUCAGAGCGAACGCUGGCGGCAGGCCUAACACAUGCAAGUCGAGCGCCCCGCAAGGGGAGCGGCAGACGGGAGAGUAACACGUGGGAACGUGCCCUUUGGUUCGGAACAACACAGGGAAACUUGUGCUAAUACCGGAUAAGCCCUUACGGGGAAAGAUUUAUCGCCAAAGGAUCGGCCCGCGUCUGAUUAGCUUGUUGGUGAGGUAACGGCUCACCAAGGCUACGAUCAGUAGCUGGUCUGAGAGGAUGAUCAGCCUCACUGGGACUGAGACACGGCCCAGACUCCUACGGGAGGCAGCAGUGGGGAAUAUUGGACAAUGGGCGCAAGCCUGAUCCAGCCAUGCCGCGUGGGUGAUGAAGGCCCUAGGGUUGUAAAGCCCUUUCGGCGGGGAAGAUAAUGACGGUACCCGCAGAAGAAGCCCCGGCUAACUUCGUGCCAGCAGCCGCGGUAAUACGAAGGGGGCUAGCGUUGCUCGGAAUCACUGGGCGUAAAGCGCACGUAGGCGGCUUUUUAAGUCAGGGGUGAAAUCCUGGAGCUCAACUCCAGAACUGCCCUUGAUACUGAGGAGCUUGAGUCCGGGAGAGGUGAGUGGAACUGCGAGUGUAGAGGUGAAAUUCGUAGAUAUUCGCAAGAACACCAGUGGCGAAGGCGGCUCACUGGCCCGGUACUGACGCUGAGGUGCGAAAGCGUGGGGAGCAAACAGGAUUAGAUACCCUAGUAGUCC
rnacentral:rRNA from 1 species